rnacentral:lncRNA from 1 species
UCGUCACCACCCAACUCCAGUUAAUUCGAUCUCGAGAUGAAAAUCUAUGUCAACAGUAAAUAUAUCUACCUGUUGGACUUGAUCUUUCCUAAUAAACAUAGGAAACAAACCGACCUUUGAAUGUAACAGGUAACCAAGUAUCACCAAUAAAGAUACGCCCAUUAAGCAAUUUUUAUAGACUCAUGGAUUUGCUAUAACAUGGGUUUUGGAGAAUC